UCCCCCACUCUGCAUGGAGCAGUACAGCAGCAAUGCCUAGGAACAACCAGGCACACAGAGUGGUUUUAUAAUUAGCUACUUGCUCUCUGCCACUAAUGUACAGGGAGCAAGAGCCUCCUUCUGAGUGUGUAUGGUUGGCUGGCACUCAACAUGUGCAGGCCACCGCUGAUGAUAAUAUGUAGGUGUAGGGUGGUAUAUGUUGACUGAGGUCACAGUGACAGACUGAGGUGAGAGACGGAGGCAGGCGAAUGUGUGUAGGUAGCGCUCGCCGUCUCACCACUCAGCGGGUGAGAAUUGUGCCUGGGGCUGGUGGCUGAUUGCUUUGAUGUGAAAUGAUUGCGUUUUACGUGGCUCUGAGGUGCAGAGACCACAGGCAUGGCCCUUGUCUCGCUGUCACAUGGUCAGUCAGGCUUAGGUUAGCCAGUGCUACACCCCACUGGCUCCCUAAGGGUCCAGAGGGCCGGGGACAGAUGUAGCUGUUGGUACAUACAUGUGUUAUGGGGAGCGAGAACUCAGCUGCUGGUUGCAUCUCCAGCCUUGAGAUAAAAGAGCAUGGUCCUGGCAAGGAGGUGAAAAUGAAACAGGGAGAAAAGGUCUGUCUAGUAAGGGUUAGCAAGGGCACUUCCUCAGUCCCUGAAGGAAAGGUCCCUCCAAUGUCAGUGAACAGAGCAAAAGAAAGAUUUUAGGAUAUAAGAAUUUAAUAAAAUUAAGUGGUACAGGAAAUAGCAGUGUGUGUGGUAAAACAGCAAACUUCAGAGGUAAGUGCAAUCACUAUAAUCUGCUGUUAUUGUUUUAUUUUUUUAUUGUUUUUAACAUUGACUAGGUUCUACAAGCCUUUUGUUGCAAGCUGUUCAAGAUCAGCUAUAUUAUUGCAUUCAUAAAAACAAGUUCAUACUUGUGGGCUCUGGAUGUUAUGAAGCCACACAGGAUUACAAUGUACAUAGUGUCUCAUCUCAUCUCAUCCUGCUCCCCUACCACCUCUGCACUCUUUUUUUCUUGCCUCCAUAGGACAGACAGCAUCUGUUGUUCAGCCACGCUCAUACAGCAGAUAGAACAUCCACCGAGUGUAGAGGUGGAAGUGGAGCGAUCAAUUAGAUUUUAACAAAUGACUUUCUGUGCAUUACCCAGCAGCUGUUAAAUCGGUCAACCUUAGCACAAACCCCUCUCUGAGGGGACGGAGGAAAGGAGGAGAGGGCUUGUCUGCACUGUGUGCUACAUCAUGGCAAACUGAGGAGAAAGUCAGCCAUGGCCUCAGGCGGGAGAGUGCUACGUGUAGCGUGGCUGUGGACGGAGAUGGAGGGACGGAGGAUGAAGGAUGGAGGUGGGUCAGUUGGACCCCAGGGGCCCCUGGUGGAGAUGAUGUGGGGACUGAGGGCCAGGAGAUGGGCAUGCUACAUAUGGAGGUCCAUAGCUACCUCAGGCAAAGGCCGGCCAGGCCAUUUGUUCACUUCCUCUACUCUUAAAUGUAUAAAUAAAAUAUAUCCCACUGUAUCUGUGACAAACUCGCACACUCACAGGCAUACACACACAGCACACACACACACACACACACAUAUAUAUAUAUAUAUAUAUAUAUCAGCACAAAUAAGUGUGCAUGCACAGGCACAAACUCAUUUCAGAAAGGACAUACCUACUUUUAGUCCUAUCCUACUAGUAACCUCAGUCUUUAAAGAGAGCACAACUCAGUGAUUCAACUCCCUAAAUGAUGUAGUUUUAUGGUGAAGUGCUACUAAUGGCUCAUCAGAACAUCUUAAAAGGCCACUUUAAAGCUAGCAGGCCUAUAAACUGUGUGACACACAGCAGUGGGUGACCACACAAUACUCAUUUGAGUGACUGAAUGCAUAGUGGUAUGUGUAAGUGUGUGGGAGAGAGAAUGAAACAGACAGACAAGCAUUUGCAAGCAUGGUAACACCAUUUGACUUGCUUUGUAUUGUCACCUCUGGGUUUGCUAAGGGUAUAUUUUCCAAUAGCUACCAGAUUGGAAAUAGGCGAGCACGCUUAGAUGUGUGAUGAUGCAAGAGAAAGUUAUUCUCACAUUGGAUACAUAGAUACAGUAGAUCCAUAACAGAUCAGGCUUCUGACAUGCAUGUCCUCAUCUCAGGUUCAAUGACUAUAUCCCCAGAAAAGAACACACUUAGGACUUAGAACAUGUAUUUUUUCUGUUGCAAUUUAGAGCUGUAGUCAAUAGUUAAAUCAGUAGAAAAGGACUACAUAUUUCCAACUGCACAUCACUGUACAGGCACUGUAAUCACUGAGCACAAUAGAGCAGAAAGCUUAUACUUAUGGAAAGUACUGUAUAAUGGCAGAGAGGUUUGGUGAGGUCUACCAUUAAGUUUUGAUAGGAUGGUUGCCAUGCUAACCUUUAUGGAGGUGAAAAAUAAAUCUGUCACAUAACCCUGACACAGUUUUAUGGAGAAAAUAAGUUUCAUGUAGGUCUUGUCAAGUAAUGUUAUACUUUAUAUAUACAGUAUAUAUACUGUAUGUAUACCUUAUGUAACCAUGCAAACGAUCUAACUUCGCUAUAAUUGUGGUAAAGCAGUUUACUUCAACAAUCAACCGCUGGAUGUUAAGCACUUAUAAGAUGUCUUUGAUUUGUUUCCUACAUUUUCCACUUUAUUUGAUAGUUACAGUUGCGAGAGAAAGGAAAGGCAGGGGAGAGAGAGGGGAUGACAUUCAGCAAAGGGCCCGGGCCGGACUCAAACCUGAGCCGCUGAGGUGAAGCAGUAUUGCCUCUUGUGUCCAAAGUGCCUUUCAUACCCCCCUCCCCCAUCAGUCACCAACCCCCAAGCCCAAUAACCCCAUUGAGGAGCAUUUCUUAAUUAAACCUUUAUUUAUCUACUUGAGGGUCUGCCAUGCUCUACCUCAUAUUGAGACUUGACUGGUUUCAGACCCAAGGGAAUAGGUCUUUAAAAUCUAAACAUCAGGCCCACUGAGUGCUAUAGUUUGCAUAGGCGUGUAAGCUAGGGGUUUAAUAAUAAGAAGAUGAGACAGCGAGUCAUCCUGUGGAGGGAUGGAAACUAAUGAGAUGGGGUUUGUGAAACAGAGAAGGGAGUAAAGAUAGAACUGUGGAACAGAAGGUGGAAUGAAAAUGAUAAACAAAACAGAGCAAUUCAGACCUCAUAAAGAUUCUCAUAUUUUUACCUACUGGAUGAAAUAAUGCAAAAAUGCAUCUGUCUGGGGCUGAAUCACGGUACCUUCACCACUAGCACACUAUGGAAGAAAGCAAGUCUUAUUACCUUGGACAUUUUAUUUCAGUGACUGGAGGGCAGAAAGCAAUUACAUUAACAGCAGCGAAGAACAAAUCUUUUGAAGGUGAACAACACUGAAUUUCAAUAUUGGAAUAUUUGUUCGGCACUCCGGAGUUGGGGUGUGAUGCAUUUUUUUCAUUUAUAACUUUUAGCACUGCUAUGAAAUAUGCAUCGAACGUCACCACUUAUUGGCUCGGUUCUCAGUAUUUGGUGUUGGGUUUGUUCACAAACUCAUGCAGACUGUCCCUUGACUGCAUACAUUGCUGCCCCCCAGUUUGCCAAAUUUAUUUUAACUUGACCAUCUUGCUUGACCAUCAGUGGUGGGUCACAGCUUAUCUCAAACCUUACAGGAGAAUGUAAAUCUACAGAAGCUGGCCGAACCAAAUUCAUAAACAAAAACCAAAAGCAGCAGAGAGAUUUGUGAAUUAAGCAAAUCACCUUGUCAGUGGAGGAAUUAGUCCUUCACUAUCAAUUAUCAAAUAAAUAAGUAUCAAUUCUAUAACUGAACAAUACCUACAUUGAAAGUCCUGUAUUCAAACUACUGAAAGAAAUAGAAAUAUUUACUUUAAACCUGCAUUAAUUGACUUUUUGGCCACUCGGGUGAAGCGCAAGAAGCUGUAAACACAACAUUGACGUAUUAUCACCAUAUUAAGUUGAUAAUGGUGUUAGCAAACAGUUGCCUAUUUGCACAUCACAGCAGUCAUGGGGCAACGUUAUCAUUUAUAUGGAGUCGUGUUUCAGUGACCAGUGAAAAAUGCAAGUCCAAAAUUUACUCUCCUUUUACCUCUGUUUUGGUUUCCACCAACUCCUGAGGGAAAUAUCUGUCUGUCUUUAGCUUCACUUCAGCUUUGUCUGUUUGCCAUUUGGUGUUGCACAGGUAGCAUGCAGUGAGUUUAUCAGAGCUUUUUAGUUGAAAACAGCUUCCUACUGCAGAUGAAAAUGGCUCUAUGAGUGGUGAAAGUCAGCCAAAACAGUAAAGUUGCAGGUCGUAAAACCAAAACAAUGAGCUGAAAGGCGCUAAAAAGCUCCUUAGAGCUGAGCGGAACUGCAGAGGCAGGUGACAAUUCUAGGUUCCUCAUUACAAGUGACUCUUUUUGCACUACAUAUAUGUAUCUGACCCAUUGUUAAUAUGAAAUUAUUGACUGAGCAGUUUCAAAAUGUACUCAAGCCUGAAACUUAACAGUACUCAUUGUGAAGUAUGUUGAUGAAUUAGGUUUCAACUACAUAAAAUGCAUUUUUGGAUACGUUUUGUCAGUUUGGUCGUGGCAUGCUGCUCGAACAAUGUGCCUGGCACUUUGGACUUGGCCACUUUACUGCAACCUCCAGUUUGAACACACAGUAACACUACAUCAGAGUCAUAUGGAGAUACAAAUUUUCUUGGAGGAAGUGCAUCUCUGUCUCAACCUCACCUGUCAAACAAUGACCACAGUCAUGGUGCAGUUAGUCUCAGCACCAACUGACAUCGGGGACUCUUCUCUGGGUUCAGCUCUUGGGUUUGGAGGGCUCUGAAAUGGAGGAUGUCUAGGGGGCUGGAUUUAAGGUAUAGCUAUGAUGGCUAAGUGGACCCCAUACUUCACUACUAUAC